rnacentral:rRNA from 1 species
UACGGAGGUGGCAAGCGUUGUUCGGAAUUACUGGGCGUAAAGGGCGCGCAGGCGGUCGUUCAAGUCGAGUGUGAAAGCCCCCGGCUCAACUGGGGAGGGUCAUUCGAUACUGAUCGACUCGAAGGCAGGAGAGGGAAGUGGAAUUCCCGGUGUAGUGGUGAAAUGCGUAGAUAUCGGGAGGAACACCAGUGGCGAAGGCGACUUCCUGGCCUGUUCUUGACGCUGAGGCGCGAAAGCUAGGGUAGCAAACGGGG